rnacentral:rRNA from 1 species
GUAAGGAAUAUUGGACAAUGGACGCAAGUCUGAUCCAGCCAUGCCGCGUGAAGGAUUAAGGUCCUCUGGAUUGUAAACUUCUUUUAUAAGGGACGAAAAAAGGCUUUUCUAAGUCGUCUGACGGUACCUUAUGAAUAAGCACCGGCUAACUCCGUGCCAGCAGCCGCGGUAAUACGGAGGGUGCAAGCGUUAUCCGGAUUCACUGGGUUUAAAGGGUGCGUAGGCGGUCAGGUAAGUCAGUGGUGAAAUCCUAGAGCUUAACUCUAGAACUUCCAUUGAUAAUAUCUGUCUUGAAUAUUGUGGAGGUAAGCGGAAUAUGUCAUGUAGCGGUGAAAUGCUUAGAUAUGACAUAGAACACCUAUUGCGAAGGCAGCUUACUACGCAUAUAUUGACGCUGAGGCACGAAAGCGUGGGGAUCAAACAGGAUUAGAUACCCGGGUAGUCC